AUAAUGGGUCAGCGACUUAUAUUCUGUAGCAAGGUUAACCGAAUAGGGGAGCCGAAGGGAAACCGAGUCUUAACUGGGCGUUAAGUUGCAGGGUAUAGACCCGAAACCCGGUGAUCUAGCCAUGGGCAGGUUGAAGGUUGGGUAACACUAACUGGAGGACCGAACCGACUAAUGUUGAAAAAUUAGCGGAUGACUUGUGGCUGGGGGUGAAAGGCCAAUCAAACCGGGAGAUAGCUGGUUCUCCCCGAAAGCUAUUUAGGUAGCGCCUCGUGAAUUCAUCUCCGGGGGUAGAGCACUGUUUCGGCAAGGGGGUCAUCCCGACUUACCAACCCGAUGCAAACUGCGAAUACCGGAGAA
rnacentral:rRNA from 1 species